GCCCUCGUAGUUUAAUGGAUAAAACGAGGCCCUUCUAAGGCUUAGAUCGAGGUUCGAUUCCUCGCGAGGGCA
rnacentral:tRNA from 1 species